rnacentral:rRNA from 1 species
UGGCGGAACGGGUGAGUAAUAUAGUCGGAACGUGCCCAGUCGGUGGGGGAAGUAAACGUAGCGAAAGUUACGCUAAUACCGCAUACGAUCUAAGGAUGAAAGCGGGGGAUCGCAAGACCUCGCGCGAUUGGAGCGGCCGAUAUCAGAUUAGGUAGUUGGUGAGGUAAAGGCUCACCAAGCCAACGAUCUGUAGCUGGUCUGAGAGGACGACCAGCCACACUGGAACUGAGACACGGUCCAGACUCCUACGGGAGGCAGCAGUGGGGAAUUUUGGACAAUGGACGCAAGUCUGAUCCAGCCAUUCCGCGUGCAGGAUGAAGGCCCUCGGGUUGUAAACUGCUUUUGUACGGAACGAAAAGGUUUGUCUUAAUACGAUGAGCUCAUGACGGUACCGUAAGAAUAAGCACCGGCUAACUACGUG